UACAGAGGUCCCAAGCGUUGUUCGGAUUCACUGGGCGUAAAGGGUGCGUAGGUGGUGAGGUAAGUCCGAUGUGAAAGCUCCGAGCUCAACUCGGAAAUUGCAUUAGAAACUACCUUGCUAGAGGGUUGGAGGGGGGACUGGAAUUCUCGGUGUAGCAGUGAAAUGCGUAGAUAUCGAGAGGAACACCAGUGGCGAAGGCGAGUCCUUGGACAACUCCUGACACUGAGGCACGAAAGCUAGGGGAGCAAACAGG
rnacentral:rRNA from 1 species